CCUACGGGUGGCAGCAGUGGGGAAUAUUGCACAAUGGGGGAAACCCUGAUGCAGCGACGCCGCGUGAGUGAAGAAGUAUUUCGGUAUGUAAAGCUCUAUCAGCAGGAACGAGACAAGACGGUACCUGACUAAGAAGCCCCGGCUAACUACGUGCCAGCAGCCGCGGUAAUACGUAGGGGGCAAGCGUUAUCCGGAAUCACUGGGUGUAAAGGGAGCGUAGACGGCAGGGCAAGUCUGGAGUGAAAGCCCGGGGCCCAACCCCGGGACUGCUUUGGAAACUGCCAUGCUAGAGUGCUGGAGAGGUAAGCGGAAUUCCUAGUGUAGCGGUGAAAUGCGUAGAUAUUAGGAGGAACACCAGUGGCGAAGGCGGCUUACUGGACAGUAACUGACGUUGAGGCUCGAAAGCGUGGGGAGCAAACAGGAUUAGAUACCCGGGUAGUC
rnacentral:rRNA from 1 species